rnacentral:rRNA from 1 species
UUCCAGACUCCUACGGGAGGCAGCAGUGGGGAAUAUUGCACAAUGGGGGGAACCCUGAUGCAGCGACGCCGCGUGGGUGAAGAAGCGCCUCGGCGCGUAAAGCCCUGUCAGCAGGGAAGAAAAUGACGGUACCUGAAGAAGAAGCCCCGGCUAACUACGUGCCAGCAGCCGCGGUAAUACGUAGGGGGCAAGCGUUAUCCGGAUUGACUGGGUGUAAAGGGGGCGCAGACGGCGAUGCAAGCCAGGAGUGAAAGCCCGGGGCCCAACCCCGGGACUGCUCUUGGAACUGCGUGGCUGGAGUGCAGGAGGGGCAGGCGGAACUCCUGGUGUAGCGGUGAAAUGCGUAGAUAUCAGGAGGAACACCGGUGGCGAAGGCGGCCUGCUGGACUGCAACUGACGUUGAGGCCCGAAAGCGUGGGGAGCAAACAGGAUUAGAUACCCCUGUA